UCAGGACGAACGCUGGCGGCGUGCUUCAUACAUGCAAGUCGAACGAUAAGGUCUCUUCGGAGAUACAUAAGUGGCGGACGGGUGGAGUAAUAUGUAGAGAAUCUGCCCUAGAGAGGGGGAGAACAGAGGGAAACUUCUGCUAAUACCCCAUAUGAGCGUAGUUGAAAUGCUAUUCUUGAAAACUCCGGUGCUCUGGGAUGAGUCUGCAUCUGAUUAGCUAGUUGGGGGUGUAAUGGACCACCAAGGCGACGAUCAGUAGCUGGUUUGAGAGGAUGAUCAGCCACAAUGGGACUGAGACACGGCCCAUACUCCUACGGGAGGCAGCAGUAGGGAAUUUUGCGCAAUGGGGGAAACCCUGACGCAGCAACACCGCGUGAAUGUUAAGCCCUUCGGGGUGUAAAGUUCUGUCAGUAGGGAAGAACAAAUGACUGUACCUACAAAGGAAGCACCGGCUAACUCCGUGCCAGCCGCCGC
rnacentral:rRNA from 1 species